GAGGCUAUAGAAUAUAAUAUGUCUAGUUCAUUCUCUUGUCGAGAGAAAAGAAAAAUGGCCUUA
rnacentral:tRNA from 1 species